CACGUAGGCACCAAGCGUUGUCCGGAUUUAUUGGGCGUAAAGAGCUCGUAGGCGGUUCAGUAAGUCGGGUGUGAAACUUUGGGCUUAACCCAAGCGUGCAUCCGAUACUGCUGUGACUUGAGUUCGGUAGGGGAGUGGGGAAUUCCUAGUGUAGCGGUGAAAUGCGCAGAUAUUAGGAGGAACACCGGUGGCGAAGGCGCCUCUCUGGGUCCCUACCGACGCUGGGGUGCGAAAGCAUGGGGAGCGAACAGG
rnacentral:rRNA from 1 species